rnacentral:rRNA from 1 species
GCUGAAAUGAAACAUCUUAGUAAGCGGAGGAAAAGAAAAAAAUCGCGAAGUAAUUUUUUAAUAGUUAACAUUUGACAAUUAACUUUUGACAUUUUUGUCAAUUAUUAAAAAUCAAUAGUCAAUUGUUGAGAAUUUUAUUUCGCAACAUUCCCUAAGUAGCGGCGAGUAAAAAGGGAAUUAGCCCAAACCAGUCAAAGUUUUCGCAAGAAAAUUUAGGCAGGGGUAGUAAGAUAGGAAUUUUUUAUUUAUACCUGUGUUUUUUAAAAAACAUAGGUAUAAAUAAAGGAAAGUUACAAAAUGAUUUGUUAGUCGAAUCCGCUGGAAAGCGGAGUUAAAAAAGGUGAAAGCCCUGUAGACGAAAAUAAAUCAUCUUUCUAUGUUUCUAAUCUUGAGUACUUCGAGGACAGAAAACUUCGAAGGAAUCAUCCCGAACUAUCGGGAAAGGCUAAAUAUACUUUGUGACCGAUAGUGAACAAGUACCGUGAGGGAAAGGUGAAAAGCAGUCCGGUGAGGACGGUGAAAUAGACCUGAAACCAUAUGCUUACAAGGACUCGGAGGAGUGUAGCGCGCAAGCGUUAUAUUCUGACGAGGUGCCUAUUGAAGAAUGAACCAACGACUUUAUGUAUAUUGCAAAGUUUAACCCCGCUUAGCGGGGGAAGGCGUAGCGAAAGCGAGUUUGAAUAGAGCGUUUUUAGUGCCACUUUUGGAUAAUAUUUUUUUAUUUCUUAAAGGUGGCGCUGGAUAGCAGUAUGCGUAAGACCCGAAACCAAGCGAGCUUGCCCUGGACAGGAUGAACCCCGCUGAAAAGUGGGGGGAGGUCCGAACCGGUUGAUUGUGCAAAAUCUUCGGAUGAUCUGGGGUAAGAAGUGAAAAGCUAAUCGAGCUUGGUAAUAGCUGGUUCUCUCCGAAAUAGUUUUAGGACUAGCGUUCCGUUAUGAUAAAUUGGGGGUAGAGCACUAGUUGAGGUUGAUAGGGAGAAAUCUCGCUUCCUCGGUUAAACUCCGAAUACCAAUUUAUUUAUCGGGGCAGUUAGACUACGGGGGCUAAGCUCCGUGGUCAAAAGGGAAACAGCCCAUAUCGCAGUCUAAGGUCCCUAAAUUUUUGUCCUUCGAUUAGUUCAAAAUAAUUUUGAUUUUAUCGAAGGCUUGCUAAGUGUUAAAGGCGGUGUUAUGCCAUUGACAGAUAGGAAGUUGGCUUAGAGGUAGCCAUCUUUUAAAGAGUGUGUAACAACUCACUAUUCGAUCUACUGUUGUUUUACAAUAGUAGAUGGCAUAAUGCACCGAAAAUUUAUCGGGGCUUAAGCAAAAUACCGAAGACGCGAAUAGCGCUGCUUUGCAGCGCUGUGGUAGGAGAGCAUUUUGCGCGCAGUGAAGUUUUGGCCGUGAGGCUGGAUGGAGCGCGCAGAAGAGAGAAUGUUGGUAUGAGUAACCGCAAAGUCGAUGAGAAAUCGACUCCCCGAAAACCCAAGGUUUCCGUGGCAAUGACAAUCAACCACGGGUUAGGCGGCCCUAAGGCAAUGGCGAAAGCCGUAGCUGAAUGGACAGCCGGUUAAUAUUCCGGCUCUUCUGUUUUUUUUGAUGGGAUGACGAAUUAUAGUAGGUUGAAUGCAUUAUUGGUUUUGUGUCCUUGACCGAAAGUGUUCGUUAGGCAAAUCCGGCGAACUACAUUUAAUUGUAAACUUCAGGAAAAAGGCAAAUUAAUGUUUUUACAUUGAUAAGUCAACCGAGCAUGAUUCCAAGAAAAGUCUCUAAAAUUAGAAAAACAGAAACCGUACCGUAAACCGACACAGGUGGGUGAGGCGAGAAGCCUCAGGGGAACGAGUGAUUCCUCGUUAAGGAACUAGGCAAAAAAGCGGCCGUAAGUUAGCAAAAUGGCCUGGCUUGCGCGGCUAUCAGCUUCUUGCUGCCAGCUUUCGGCAAACGAAAUUUAUUUUCGUUUUUGCUGGUAGCUGGUUGCCGGUAGCUGGUAGCUGGCGAAGCCCGCAGCGAAAGUAUCUCUGGCGACUGUUUAUCAAAAACACAGCUCCCUGCGAACUCGUAAGAGAAUGUAUAGGGGGUGACACCUGACCGAUGCGAGAAGGUUAAACCUAAGAGUGGCUGCCAGCUUUCAGCUUCUAGCGUCCAGCAUUUAUUAUGCUGGUAGUUGGUGGUUGAGAGCUGGUUGCUGCCCAUUGGGCGAAGCCCUCGUCAAUGUCCGCGGUAACUAUAACCGUGUUAAAGUAGCGCAUUUCCUUUCCGGGUAAGUUCCGGAGCGCACGAAUGGUGUAACGACUGGAGAACUGUCUCAACGAGGAGCUCGGUGAAAAUGCGAUUCCCGUGAAGACGCGGGAUACCUGCAACGGGACAAAAAGACCCCGGGAGCUUUACUACAGCCUGAUAUUGAAUUUAAGAUUUAAAUGCGUAGUGUAGUGGGUAGACUUUGAGUCCUCGAUUUCGGUCGGGGAGGAGUCAACAAUGAAACACCCAUCUUUUAGAUUUUAUAUUCUAACCUUUUAGGCAAAAACUAAAAGGGACAGUGUUUGGUAGGUAGUUUUUCUGGGGCGGAAUCCUCCUAAAGAGUAACGGAGGAGUCUAUUAAGGUCGGCUAGGGUCGGAUGGAAAUCGACCUUGUUGUGUAAAGGCAUAAGCCGGCUUAACUGCGAGACUUACAAGUCGAGCAGGUGCGAAAGCAGAGCUUAGUGACCCGACGAACCUUUAUAGGAAGGUCGGAGACAACGGAUAAAAGCUACCCCGGGGAUAACAGGCUGGUGUUGUCCGAGAGUCCUUAUCGACGACAACGCUCGGCACCU